UACGAAGGGGGCGAGCGUUGCUCGGAAUCACUGGGCGUAAAGGGUGCGUAGGCGGGGCUUUGAGUCAGGGGGGAAAUCCUGGAGCUCAACUCCAGAACUGCCUUUGAUACUGAGGAUCUUGAGUUCGGGAGAGGUGAGUGGAACUGCGAGUGUAGAGGUGAAAUUCGUAGAUAUUCGCAAGAACACCAGUGGCGAAGGCGGCUCACUGGCCCGAUACUGACGCUGAGGCACGAAAGCGUGGGGAGCAAACAGG
rnacentral:rRNA from 1 species